AUGAACAGACAGUUCUGUUUCCUCAAGUUGUUAAUCGAGCGCCGAGGCCAGGAGCAGAAGAGUACCAUGGUGAUCAGCUUCAGUUGCCCGGCAAGUAGUAGAAAACUGACAUGGUUUUUGGCCUUACUGUUCAUAAUGGCUCGAGUCUAUGGCCAGUCUACUUCUGGGUUCAUAAGCAUCGAUUGUGGAAACAGUAACACCUACAACGACAUCACAACAGGAAUACAGUACCAGUCAGACGUUGGAUUUGUCGAGGGCGGUUUGAGCUACAACAUUUCAGCGGAGGCUCCUGUGGCGAAUGAGCAACAAAAAACCCUGAGGAGCUUCCCUGAAGGAUCACGAAAUUGCUAUGCGCUGCCAUCCAGCAUUGGUAAGAAGUAUCUGUUGAGGGCCACAUUUACUUACCGCAACUAUGAUGGGUUGAACAGGACUAUGGACGGGUCACCGUUUCUGUUUGGGCUACAUAUCGGCGUCAAUUUCUGGGAGACGGUGAACUUGACGAAUUGGAAUGAUCCGCUAAUGAAGGAGGUGCUCACCGUUGCUCCGGGCGACUCCGUGUCGGUCUGUCUGAUAAACUUCGGUACAGGGACUCCAUUCGUGUCUUCGUUGGAGCUGAGGCCACUGCAAGAUGCGAUGUACCCUUUUGUGAAUUCUUCGGUGUCAAUCAGCUACUUUAAACGGUUCAGAUUUGGUAACAUCACUGACCAUAUCACAAGUCAAUUACAUGAAAGAAGUCAAGAAGCACUACAAUUUGGCACGAAUAAAGAGAGUAUUCCUGGAAAGGUUUGA
rnacentral:rRNA from 1 species